rnacentral:rRNA from 1 species
GAUGAACGCUAGCUACAGGCUUAACACACGCAAGUCGAGGGGCAGCACUAGGUAGCAAUACUGAGGUGGCGACCGGCGCACGGGUGCGUAACGCGUAUCCAACCUUCCCGGUACUCUUGGAUAGCCUUCCGAAAGGGAGAUUAAUACAAGAUGGUGUUUCAAUUCCGCAUGUUAUUGAAACUAAAGAUUUAUCGGUAUCGGAUGGGGAUGCGUGACAUUAGAUAGUAGGCGGGGUAACGGCCCACCUAGUCUACGAUGUCUAGGGGUUCUGAGAGGAAGGUCCCCCACACUGGUACUGAGACACGGACCAGACUCCUACGGGAGGCAGCAGUGAGGAAUAUUGGUCAAUGGGCGAGAGCCUGAACCAGCCAAGUCGCGUGAGGGAUGACGGUACUAAGUAUUGUAAACCUCUUUUGUCAGGGAACAAAGAGACCACGUGUGGUAAGAUGAGUGUACCUGAAGAAAAAGCAUCGGCUAACUCCGUG